AUACGAGGGGAGCUAGCGUUAUUCGGAAUUACUGGGCGUAAAGCGCGCGUAGGCGGUUUUUUAAGUCAGAGGUGAAAGCCUGGAGCUCAACUCCAGAACUGCCUUUGAAACUGGAAAACUUGAAUCUUGGAGAGGUCAGUGGAAUUCCGAGUGUAGAGGUGAAAUUCGUAGAUAUUCGGAAGAACACCAGUGGCGAAGGCGACUGACUGGACAAGUAUUGACGCUGAGGUGCGAAAGCGUGGGGAGC
rnacentral:rRNA from 1 species